GUAUAGAACGCUAGCUACAGGCUUAACACAUGCAAGUCGAGGGGCAGCAUGGUCUUAGCUUGCUAAGGCCGAUCGGCGACCGGCGCACGGGUGAAGUAACACGUAUCCAACCUGCCGUCUACUCUUGGACAGCCUUCUGAAAGGAAGAUUAAUACAAGAUGGCAUCAUGAGUCCGCAUGUUCACGAUCGAUUAAACGGUAUUCCGGUAGACGAAUGGGGAUGCGUUCCAUUAGAUAGUAGGCGGGGUAACGGCCCACCUAGUCUUCGAUGGAUAGGGGUUCU
rnacentral:rRNA from 1 species